rnacentral:rRNA from 1 species
UACACCCUCCCGUGAGUGGUUGUCCUACUACUUCUACUACUGCUACUUCUAUUCGGUUAUUUUAAAGAGUAGGGUCUCAUGUUCGUGCUCAAGUGAUGUAAACCUGUCGUACAGGUUUGUCUUUUGUUACUACAACAACUGGUACUACAACGUCUUCUACUACUAAUACUACUACACGGCGGUGAGGUUGUUAAAGUUUGGUUAGGUCACUCUGUAGUGGUGUUGUGACCUAAUGGUGGCGCAGGUGGACGACGUGGUGUUUUGUUUCGAGUGAGGUUCACGUGGACGACGUAGUUCAAGUUGUGACACUGGUGGUUCCCACGGAGCCUAUUUUUGUACGGCGGUUUGGAGUAUGAACAGGGACCUUACUUCAAGUGGAGCAUGCUGUUACGUACCCUGAAAAUGUUGUGAAUAGGUUCUAUACGCCCCAAACCGUAUACGUCCUUCCGCUUUGUGUUUUGUUUACGGAUGUAACAGACGUGUUCUCUUCCCUGCACGUUCGUCUGACACCGUCUAAUACUAGCCUUUGAACCACUUCCUGUACGUCGACCUGUUAGUGUGUGUGUCUACUACAGUUGCGAUAGCGUAUACAGGCUACCAAACGUCAAGUACCCAGUAUGAUCGGCGCUGACCCAGUUGUUCUUAGUAUUCAAACGAUCUCUUCUCAGAGUUCUACUGCGGUUCUUCGAAGACCUAAAGAAGCUCUUCGAUCUUUUCUAGUUGUGUCUCAAGAAGAUACUAAUGCUGCAGCUACGUCUAUUAGCACGACGCGACCGGAAAAGCCCGGCGACGAGGCCACCGAAAGAACUCACAGAGUGCAAGUUAACCCGGAUGACCGGAUGACCCGGAGUUUGGGAUGGCUUCCCAGAGAGGUGGGGGUAGGGGCACCGACAACAAGUAGGGGCAGGGAAAGCGAGAUUGGAGCGGUUUCAGCGGCGAGGACGUCAGGAAGCCGCGGUAGGUUAGAGUGCGGUCUGAGGGCGCCAUCCUCUCCUCUCAUACUUGCUUCAAGGAACGUCGCCGUCGCCGUCGCUGCUCCUCGGGAAAGACAAAGGUGGAGGAAAGAAAGCACCUACGGCACAGAAGAAACGGGCAGUCUCGGGUCUAGACCGACACGUAGUCCUCCAACAAGUACAGUAGUUUUACACGUUGGUCUUACUUUCACGUUGAUGUGACGUCGAAGAAGCUCUGUCCCAUAGGAAUUUUUCUUUACAUUCUGCUUCCUCCCAUCUCCUCUAGCUCCUCCCUCCCCCGGCAACGCUCCUCUAUCAACCUCCAGUUCGUAACCGUAACCUCUGUUCCUAGGCGCUCGCCCUCUCCGCUGCGACCCGGCCGGUAAAGGUGACGCAGCCGUCUUCGGUCGCCUCACUCGAGCAGUCGCACCGUAGCUUGAUAUGUUACUUCAGUCUCAGGUCGGUCUAGCAAACGUUCCACACGUAGGGGUUUAGGUAGAGGAAGAAAUGAGGGAAACUAAAGUUAAAGGUCGUUCACGAAAAGCCGGUUGAUCGUCGCUUGAUAGGCAGGUUCAGUUGUACU